CUCUUCCCCCCUCCGCCCUAUUCUAUUUCCUUUCCCCUCCACGUCUUGCUAUAGUUCCAAGCCUCGCCGCUGCCUCGUCUCCCUAUUUUCUCUAGCGACCUUGCCAGAGAGGAAGGGGAGGGGGAGCUCUCCGGCUAGCAGGCAGCGGCAAGCUCCAUCUCGAACCGGGCGAGCCUAGCAAGUCUUGGCGAGGGGACCACGCUUUCUGCGCCUUCCGACCGGACCUGCAGCCGACGAUGCUCCUCCUUUUCAGUUGCGUCGCCCCACCUGGCUACGGCUCGCUUGAAGUCCAUGGCCUCGCCUCGCCCCGCCCCGACUGAGCUAUUGAUCGGGUCCAUUGUGGGGCUGGGUUGCCGGUUCUGAUGGGGGAGGGCUUCAACGGUGGUCGGCGGCGACAAAUUUGGGUGGAUUUGACGACCCAUAAAUCACCCCCCUCCCUUGAGUGGCCUGGGUUAGUUAGAACGUUCUUUUACAAGUUCUGAUCAGUGCACAGACACAAACCAGAUGGGGAAGAGAUGCAGCUGAUGCGGUCGAGUGAAUUAAGCCGGAGGCAGCAGCGAGCCGCGACAGAGCAAGGCUCCGGAGCACCACAGAACCGCUGGAACUGGCCCGCUGCGCCGCUUCCGAACGACAGCAGAGCCGCUGCUGGGGCGCUGGAUCCGGGCCUGACGCGCGGCGGAUCUGGCUGGCCACACCACGCGCUGCAACUCCGGACCCAGGCCCCACAACGCCGCUGCAAUCGUGCAAGCCGUCACUGGCCGCCGAGAUACCCAGGGGGGCACCUGCACGCUGGCCGGCGCGACCGAGAGCAAGAGCGGCGGCCGCGAACUGGGAGCAGAGAAGCUGGGCGGAGCAGGGAUGGAGAAAGGGAGGCCCGCCCCGUCGUCGGCCGGCCGUGGAGGCCACCGGCGGCGGCGAGGAGAUCUGUGGCCGGAGGUCUCUAAGAAGCGGUGGCGCCUCCUGAGUCGCCCGGGAGCAUCAUUACCACCGCCUCCAUGGUCCUUCUCUGCAUCAAGCUUCCUACUCUCCAGCAAUCGUGUCCUGUUGCAAGCCUCACAACGAGCUGUAGUGCUCUUGAAUCUUGAUUGGUUUCAUUGGACGAGUUGGAAGGACAUCCUGGUCUAGUUGCUGUGAGCAAAGAGCUGACUCCCACAAUAAUUUCUGAAUUUGAGAGAAGGACACAGCAGGUGAUGGAUGUCCCUGAUAGUGUCUUCCAAAACGGCUUCAUGUUAGAAGUCGAGGGAGCAGAGACUGAGCUGCCAAUCCCAGUGAACUCGUCAUCAGCGGCCAUCAAGAGAAAGGCGGAUGCCGAUCACCCGGAGGCACCACAGGGCAGACGUCAGGAAAUGAUGGACACGGGCAUCAACGACGUGGAAUUGAACAAGUACUACAUUCCUAAACGAGUCAUGAAGGGAAUGACGAACAUACCUUGUCUCCACAUUGGAUCCAGAACAGGAUCAGAGGGAUCAAAAACCGCUAAUUUGUAUAAAGCCAUCGAGCCAGCCCAACCAGAAACUAGAGCUGUGUGCAUUAUAUGCACCGCAAGCAAUCGACCCGGAUCAUUCAAUACGACAGUAUGAACACGAUACCAAGACAAACCCAUGGAAAUACCUCUUUAGCAAAGAAAAAUAGACACGAUGUCGCUUUAUUUUAUCGCAUUGUAAAAGACUAUCCAUAUCCUAUGGACCUAACCCUUCUAUGGGAUUCUGUGUCAGAAAGCGUGAAUAUUUAUUUCAAAAACUAUGGCUGACUUCACCCAAUUUGAGCCCUUCAUAGUCGAGGACGGCUGGGAUUGGGCCAACAGUUUUCCUGUGAGUGUACCUGAAGAUGAUAACCACACAAUGACCAUCGGAGUUAACGAAGUGCCAGUUAGUGUUGCUGACUACAGCUACGUGGAGGCGGAACCCGUUGGAGUCGACAGCGGCGGGGAUUUUGCCCACAUGUUUCCCUUCAGUGUACCUCAAGAUGACAACUACAAAAUGCCAGCUCCUGUCGCUGUAGUAGCUCAAGUUGAAGGCGAGCAGCAGGGACCUGAAGCCAAGAUGGCGGAGGAUGCCAGCGGCAGUGCACAUCGCCCUAGUGUUCUGGAGGAAACCGGACCCAGGUCGCUCUUCGACAACGGUGCAGGGGGUUCAACUGGGUUGGUCGCUGGUGAAAUUCAUGAAUCUGACUACUACGCGAUGGACAUUGAUGAGUUCGACUGCGGCGGUUUUGAUCUGGAGUUCCUCAGAAAUGUACUUGAAGAUGACUACUAGCGGAAUUACGUGGGCCUUUGAAGAGUUGCUUGCCAUGUCCAGCCGGCAGCGGCAUGCCAUGUCCUCGUUUUGAUCAUGUGAGAGUGAGUUGCAUGUGGCGUAAGAGUUUUGAGGUAGCAUACUGCGGUCUUUGCAUAACUGAGGCAAUGAGUAUCUAGCUUAGUGCCUGAGCUUUGAUUAGAAUUACUAUGCAUUGUUGCAUGAUUUUUUUACAUCAAAACGUGUACUGCACUGAACAGUUCAUGUAUCUUUUUGGACAAGAGACAAUUUCAGCA